CCUACGGGCGGCAGCAGUGGGGAAUAUUGCACAAUGGGGGAAACCCUGAUGCAGCAACGCCGCGUGUGUGAAGAAGGAUUUCGGUUUGUAAAGCACUUUCAGCAGGGAAGAAAAUGACGGUAUCUAACGAAUAAGCCCCGGCUAACUCCGUGCCAGCAGCCGCGGGAAUACGGAGGGCGCAAGCUUUACCCGGAAGUACUGGGCGAAAAGUGAGCGGAGGCGGGAGCACAAGUCUGAUGUGAAAUCCCGGGGCUCAACCCUGGAACUGCAUUGGAAACUGUGAGGCUAGAGUGUUGGAGAGGGAGGUGGAAUUCUGGGUGUAGGGGUGAAAUGCGUAGAGAUUAGGAGGAAUACCGGUGGCGAAGGCGGCCCCCUGGACAAUAACUGACGCUGAGGCGCGAAAGCGUGGGGAGCAAACAGGAUUAGAUACCCGAGUAGUC
rnacentral:rRNA from 1 species